AGUCGAACGAACUCUGGUAUUGAUUGGUGCUUGCAUCAUGAUUUACAUUUGAGUGAGUGGCGAACUGGUGAGUAACACGUGGGAAACCUGCCCAGAAGCGGGGGAUAACACCUGGAAACAGAUGCUAAUACCGCAUAACAACUUGGACCGCAUGGUCCGAGUUUGAAAGAUGGCUUCGGCUAUCACUUUUGGAUGGUCCCGCGGCGUAUUAGCUAGAUGGUGGGGUAACGGCUCACCAUGGCAAUGAUACGUAGCCGACCUGAGAGGGUAAUCGGCCACAUUGGGACUGAGACACGGCCCAAACUCCUACGGGAGGCAGCAGUAGGGAAUCUUCCACAAUGGACGAAAGUCUGAUGGAGCAACGCCGCGUGAGUGAAGAAGGGUUUCGGCUCGUAAAACUCUGUUGUUAAAGAAGAACAUAUCUGAGAGUAACUGUUCAGGUAUUGACGGUAUUUAACCAGAAAGCCACGGCUAACUACGUGCCAGCAGCCGCGGUAAUACGUAGGUGGCAAGCGUUGUCCGGAUUUAUUGGGCGUAAAGCGAGCGCAGGCGGUUUUUUAAGUCUGAUGUGAAAGCCUUCGGCUCAACCGAAGAAGUGCAUCGGAAACUGGGAAACUUGAGUGCAGAAGAGGACAGUGGAACUCCAUGUGUAGCGGUGAAAUGCGUAGAUAUAUGGAAGAACACCAGUGGCGAAGGCGGCUGUCUGGUCUGUAACUGACGCUGAGGCUCGAAAGUAUGGGUAGCAAACAGGAUUAGAUACCCUGGUAGUCCAUACCGUAAACGAUGAAUGCUAAGUGUUGGAGGGUUUCCGCCCUUCAGUGCUGCAGCUAACGCAUUAAGCAUUCCGCCUGGGGAGUACGGCCGCAAGGCUGAAACUCAAAGGAAUUGACGGGGGCCCGCACAAGCGGUGGAGCAUGUGGUUUAAUUCGAAGCUACGCGAAGAACCUUACCAGGUCUUGACAUACUAUGCAAAUCUAAGAGAUUAGACGUUCCCUUCGGGGACAUGGAUACAGGUGGUGCAUGGUUGUCGUCAGCUCGUGUCGUGAGAUGUUGGGUUAAGUCCCGCAACGAGCGCAACCCUUAUUAUCAGUUGCCAGCAUUAAGUUGGGCACUCUGGUGAGACUGCCGGUGACAAACCGGAGGAAGGUGGGGAUGACGUCAAAUCAUCAUGCCCCUUAUGACCUGGGCUACACACGUGCUACAAUGGAUGGUACAACGAGUUGCGAACUCGCGAGAGUAAGCUAAUCUCUUAAAGCCAUUCUCAGUUCGGAUUGUAGGCUGCAACUCGCCUACAUGAAGUCGGAAUCGUUAGUAAU
rnacentral:rRNA from 2 species